CCAAUAGCGUAUAUUAAAGUUGUUGCAGUUAAAAAGCUCGUAGUUGAAUUUUAGGCCUGACCGGGCGGUCCGUCUCUGGCGAGUACUGUUUCGUUGUCGGGUCUAUCCUUCUGGUGAGCCGGUAUGUCCUUUAUUGGGUGUGUCGGGGAACCAGGACCAUUACCUUGAAAAAAUUAGAGUGUUUAAAGCGGGCUAUUGCUUGAAUAGAUU
rnacentral:rRNA from 1 species